CCAAUAGCGUAUAUUAAAGUUGUUGCAGUUAAAAAGCUCGUAGUUGAAUUUCGGGAUCAAAUUGUCGGUCGUGCUUCGGUACGCACUGGCAUUAUUGGUUUCUACCUUCUGAAGAACCGCGAUGUCAUUAAUUUGGUGUCGUGGGGAAUCAGGACUGUUACUUUGAAAAAAUUAGAGUGUUUAAAGCAGGCGCACGCUUGAAUACAUUAGCAUGGAAUAAUGAAAUAGGACGUUUGAUUCUAUUUUGUUGGUUUCUAGGAUCGACGUAAUGAUUAAUAGGGAUAGUUGGGGGCAUUAGUAUUCAAUUGUCAGAGGUGAAAUUCUUGGAUUUAUUGAAGACUAACUACUGCGAAAGCAUUUGCCAAGGAUGUUUUCAUUAAUCAAGAACGAAAGUUAGGGGAUCGAAGACGAUCAGAUACCGUCGUAGUCUUAACCAUAAACUAUGCCGACUAGGGAUCGGAUGAUGUUAAUUUUAAUGACUCAUUCGGCGCCUUACG
rnacentral:rRNA from 1 species